rnacentral:misc_RNA from 1 species
UGUGAUACAGCAAGGAGAAUAUGAAUCCUUCCAUCGUGACAUGAUGGUUGCAUUCGGCUUCUGGGAAUUCAAUCCUAUGGAUCUGGAUAAUCCAUUCCCAAAUAAUGAAGGUUCAGUUCAUCUAUGGCAAGGAGAUGAAGAUCGUAUUGUUCCUGUUAUGUUGCAGCGCUACAUCACUCAAAGGCUUCCCUGGAUUCACUAUCAUGAGCUACCUGGUUCUGGGCACUUGUUUCCUUUCAUUGAUGGGAUGUCCGAUAAGAUUAUAAAGGCAAUGUUAACUGGAGAGUAGUGACCUUCCGCACUGUUAGUGGGCUACCUCAGGUCAGAUUUUUUGGUUGCUCUCUUAUGUUGUCCAAGCUAUAUUUGAAAUUAUUACUCAUUUUUGUUGUGUAAGAUAAAUUUUGUUUUAAUUUCUUACAAUUAAAUAUCUAGAAUUUUAUUUGGAUUUGAAUAUUGGUUGUGCCUACAUGGGAUGGUUA